CUGGCUUCUCGGCCUUUUGGCUAAGAUCAAGUGUAGUAUCUGUUCUUUUAGUUUAAUGUUCAUUUUAAUAUUCAAUAACACAUUCUGAGCCUUACAGACGUCUGAGUUUGAAGGGUAGCUGGUGUAGUCUUAACACUGGAAAGCCUUAUGCAAGAAAAAUA
ensembl:snRNA U2 U2 spliceosomal RNA